GCAAUGGUGGUUUGGUGGUAGAAUUCUUGUUUUCCAUGUGGGAGACUCAGGUUUGAUUCCUGGUCAAUGUA
rnacentral:tRNA from 1 species